UACGGGGGGGGGCAAGCGUUGUUCGGAAUUACUGGGCGUAAAGCGCGCGUAGGCGGCUUUGUAAGUUAGAGGUGAAAGCCCGGAGCUCAACUCCGGAACUGCCUUUAAAACUGCAUCGCUUGAAUCCAGGAGAGGUGAGUGGAAUUCCGAGUGUAGAGGUGAAAUUCGUAGAUAUUCGGAAGAACACCGGUGGCGAAGGCGGCCUGCUGGGCAGUGGCUGACACUGAGGCGCGACAGCGUGGGGAGCAAACAGG
rnacentral:rRNA from 1 species